rnacentral:rRNA from 1 species
UACGUAGGGUGCAAGCGUUGUCCGGAAUUAUUGGGCGUAAAGAGCUCGUAGGCGGUUUGUUGCGUCGGCUGUGAAAUCCCGAGGCUCAACCUCGGGUCUGCAGUCGAUACGAGCAAACUAGAGUGUUGCAGGGGAGACUGGAAUUCCUGGUGUAGCGGUGAAAUGCGCAGAUAUCGAGGAGGAACACCGGUGGCGAAGGCGGGUCUCUGGGCAACAACUGACGCUGGAGGAGCGAAAGCCGUGGGGAGCGAACAGG